rnacentral:rRNA from 1 species
AUUGAACGCUGGCGGCAUGCCUUACACAUGCAAGUCGAACGGCAGCACGGGGCAACCUGGUGGCGAGUGGCGAACGGGUGAGUAAUGCAUCGGAACGUACCUUUCAGUGGGGGGUAACGUAGCGAAAGUUACGCUAAUACCGCAUAUUCUGUGAGCAGGAAAGCAGGGGAUCGCAAGGCCUUGCGCUGAUUGAGCGGCCGAUGUCAGAUUAGCUAGUUGGUGAGGUAAAGGCUCACCAAGGCGACGAUCUGUAGCGGGUCUGAGAGGAUGAUCCGCCACACUGGAACUGAGACACGGUCCAGACUCCUACGGGAGGCAGCAGUGGGGAAUUUUGGACAAUGGGGGCAACCCUGAUCCAGCCAUGCCGCGUGAGUGAAGAAGGCCUUCGGGUUGUAAAGCUCUUUCGGCCGGGAAGAAAUCGCACGGGCUAAUACCCUGUGUGGAUGACGGUACCGGAAUAAGAAGCACCGGCUAACUACGUGCCAGCAGCCGCCGCUGUAA